rnacentral:rRNA from 1 species
CUGGCUCAGAUUGAACGCUGGCGGCAUGCCUUACACAUGCAAGUCGAACGGUAGAGUAGCAAUACUCGAGAGUGGCGAACGGGUGAGUAAUAUAUCGGAACGUGCCCAGUCGUGGGGGAUAACGUAGAGAAAUUUACGCUAAUACCGCAUACGAUCUACGGAUGAAAGCGGGGGAUUCGCAAGAACCUCGCGCGAUUGGAGCGGCUGAUAUCAGAUUAGGUUGUUGGUGAGGUAAAAGCUCACCAAGCCGACGAUCUGUAGCUGGUUUGAGAGAACGACCAGCCACACUGGGACUGAGACACGGCCCAGACUCCUACGGGAGGCAGCAGUGGGGAAUUUUGGACAAUGGGCGCAAGCCUGAUCCAGCCAUUCCGCGUGAGUGAAGAAGGCCUUCGGGUUGUAAAGCUCUUUCGCAAGGGAAGAAAACUUAUCCUCUAACAUAGGAUGAGGUUGACGGUACCUUGAUAAGAAGCACCGGCUAACUACGUGCCAGCAGCCGCGGUAAUACGUAGGGUGCGAGCGUUAAUCGGAAUUACUGGGCGUAAAG